AAAUUGAAGAGUUUGAUCAUGGCUCAGAUUGAACGCUGGCGGCAGGCCUAACACAC
rnacentral:rRNA from 1 species